rnacentral:rRNA from 2 species
CCGUACACAAAAGCGCAUGUGCUGUGAGCUCGAUGAGUAGGGCGGGACACGUGGUAUCCUGUCUGAAUAUGGGGGGACCAUCCUCCAAGGCUAAAUACUCCUGACUGACCGAUAGUGAACCAGUACCGUGAGGGAAAGGCGAAAAGAACCCCGGCGAGGGGAGUGAAAAAGAACCUGAAACCGUGUACGUACAAGCAGUGGGAGCACAGGUUUACCUGUGUGACUGCGUACCUUUUGUAUAAUGGGUCAGCGACUUAUAUUCUGUAGCAAGGUUAACCGAAUAGGGGAGCCGGAGGGAAACCGAGUCUUAAUUGGGCGUUAAGUUGCAGGGUAUAGACCCGAAACCCGGUGAUCUAGCCAUGGGCAGGUUGAAGGUUGGGUAACACUAACUGGAGGACCGAACCGACUAAUGUUGAAAAAUUAGCGGAUGACCUGUGGCUGGGGGUGAAAGGCCAAUCAAACCGGGAGAUAGCUGGUUCUCCCCGAAAGCUAUUUAGGUAGCGCCUCGUGAAUUCAUCUCCGGGGGUAGAGCACUGUUUCGGCUAGGGGGCCAUCCCGGCUUACCAACCCGAUGCAAACUGCGAAUACCGGAGAAUGUUAUCACGGGAGACACACGGCGGGUGCUAACGUCCGUCGUGAAGAGGGAAACAACCCAGACCGCCAGCUAAGGUCCCAAAGUCAUGGUUAAGUGGGAAACGAUGUGGGAAGGCCCAGACAGCCAGGAUGUUGGCUUAGAAGCAGCCAUCAUUUAAAGAAAGCGUAAUAGCUCACUGGUCGAGUCGGCCUGCGCGGAAGAUGUAACGGGGCUAAACCAU